rnacentral:lncRNA from 1 species
GAGGGGGGAUGGGGAGGGGAAGGAGGAGGGGGAGGGGAGAGGGAGGAGGAGGAGGAGGGAGAAGAAGGAAGAAGAAAAACUUUCUCCAAUUUUUUAUGGCUGGUAAAAGAUGUCCUUAGGAAAAAUAAGGAGACUAUGUUGCAAAGCUUCAUGAAACGAGACUUUAGAAACAGCUCUUUAGAAUGAGAAGCUCUCUGCCAAUGCAAAAAAAAACUAUUAGGACACUAUUUUGUUAGUACUAAUGUCUGAAUAUAUUGUUCUAAAAUAUGCUGGAAUGUACUGAAAUUGUAUUUAACUGUCUAAUUUAUUAACUAAGUUCUUUGACUAGAUGGUGAAGGAAUGACUUUUUGAGUGGGGAUUGCAUGUUUGCAUAUUUUGAGAUGGUCCACAACUAAAUAAAAUUGUAUUCAAACCCAAAUGCUGCCCUCGAGAGAAACUAUUUUCCUAGAUCCUAACCUAU